UCCCAUUAGACCAUGUUUAUCCCAGGUCCUUAACUGGUUUCUUAAAGAAAAUAGGUGAUUUAAUUAAUUCAAAAGUAAUUAUAAUGUUAGUUACCGAUCCUUAACUGGGAGUUUUGGGAAUCGAUUUUAAUGGGGUGUUUGGUACACGUGUCGGCGAGGAAAUGCAACAAGAUUUUUUUUUCUUCUUUUGUUUCAUUCUUUUCUUUUCACGCGUUUGGUGUUCCUCGUCUUCUCCGUUUCUAGACGAUCGAAAGUCAAAACCCACCAUGUCUGCUCUCGCUUCUCCGUCUGAGACGAUCGACGACUCUGUCGGUCAUCACGGCGUCUCCUCCGUGUUCUCCGUCAGACGAAACCCUAAACACGAUGUGUUCUGAUCUUUAUGUGUUCUGAUUAACUUUGUGUACACUUGGUGGCAAUCUAUUAAAUUGUUUAGGUAAAGGGCCUUACAACGGAAGAGCUUGCUGCUAGAAACGAUUUGGUACUUGCGCUUCCGGCUAGGAUUGAAGCUAUACCUGAUGGGACUGCGGGUGGUCCUAAAAGCACUAGUGCGUGGGCUCCUUCUACAAUGUCUCGUCCUGAUAUCAAAUUUGAUUCAGUUGAUUCAAAACCCAACUAGCUUUGUGUUCCUUAUUGUAUUGUCUUAGAAUAAUAUGAACUGUUUAUUCUUUUUUGGAGCAAUCUGACACCUCUAAUGUGGAUAUUAGAUGGGCGUUUUGAUGAUGAUUACUUUCAAGAAUCACAUGAGUCCAGCCAGUUCAGACAUGAGUUUGAGAUGCGGAAAAUUAAACAGGCAGGUUUAGAUGCUUUGAAGAACAUGGCAUCUGAUAUGAACGAGAGCUGGACCGUCAAGUUCCUCUGAGGGAUGAAAUCGACUCAAAGGUAGUCAAUAUGGCCAGUCAAUUCAGAGCCAGGUAGUGGACUUGGGAGUGGAAGUGUUGUUUGAUCACGGACUGAAAUUUUGCAUGUUUGAUUGACAGAGGUGAGAUAGCGAGUCACGGACUUGGGAGUGGAAGUCUUGUAAUGUUUUGUAUUUUUGUGUCACGGACUAGAAAGUCUCGUGUGUCUCUUCGUAAUUUUAUGUGUAACAGAUUUGGUAAUAAAAUAUCAGCUUCCCUUAUAAA